GGAUUAGAUACCCUGGUAGUCCACGCCCUAAACGAUGAGAACUAGUCGUUGGAAAGAUUUGCUUUUCAGUGACGCAGCUAACGUAUUAAGUUCUCCGCCUGGGGAGUACGGCCGCAAGGUUGAAACUCAAAGGAAUUGACGGGGGCCCGCACAAGCGGUGGAGCAUGUGGUUUAAUUCGAUGCAACGCGAAGAACCUUACCUGCUCUUGACAUCCUCGGAAUCCCCCAGAGAUGGGGGAGUGCCUUCGGGAACCGAGUGACAGGUGCUGCAUGGCUGUCGUCAGCUCGUGCCG
rnacentral:rRNA from 1 species